UACAGAGGUCUCAAGCGUUGUUCGGAUUCAUUGGGCGUAAAGGGUGCGUAGGUGGCUGUCAAAGUCGGGUGUGAAAAUCCCAAGGCUCAACCUUGGGUCUGCAUUCGAUACUGGGUGGCUUGAGUCUGGUAGGGGGGCCUGGAAUUCCUGGUGUAGCGGUGAAAUGCGCAGAUAUCAGGAGGAACACCGAUGGCGAAGGCAGGUCUCUGGGCCACUACUGACGUGAGAAGCGAAAAGCAUGGGGGAGCGAACAGG
rnacentral:rRNA from 1 species